UACGUAGGGCGCAAGCGUUAUCCGGAAUUAUUGGGCGUAAAGAGCUCGUAGGCGGUUUGUCGCGUCUGCCGUGAAAGUCCGGGGCUCAACUCCGGAUCUGCGGUGGAUACGGGCAGGCUAGAGUUCGGUAGGGGAGACUGGAAUUCCUGGUGUAGCGGUGAAAUGCGCAGAUAUCAGGAGGAACACCGGUGGCGAAGGCGGGUCUCUGGGCCGAUACUGACGCUGAGGAGCGAAAGCGUGGGGAGCGAACAGG
rnacentral:rRNA from 1 species